rnacentral:rRNA from 1 species
CAUGCAAGUCGAGCGGUAAGGCCCUUCGGGGUACACGAGCGGCGAACGGGUGAGUAACACGUGGGUAACCUGCCCUGUACUCUGGGAUAAGCCUUGGAAACGAGGUCUAAUACCGGAUACGACCUGGGAUCGCAUGAUUCCGGGUGGAAAGUUCCGGCGGUAUGGGAUGGACCCGCGGCCUAUCAGCUUGUUGGUGGGGUAAUGGCCUACCAAGGCGACGACGGGUAGCCGGCCUGAGAGGGUGACCGGCCACACUGGGACUGAGACACGGCCCAGACUCCUACGGGAGGCAGCAGUGGGGAAUCUUGCGCAAUGGGCGAAAGCCUGACGCAGCGACGCCGCGUGUGGGAUGAAGGCCUUCGGGUUGUAAACCACUGUCGGGAGGGACGAAGCUCUGACGGUACCUCCAAAGGAAGCACCGGCUAACUCCGUGCCAGCAGCCGCGGUAAUACGGAGGGUGCGAGCGUUGUCCGGAAUCACUGGGCGUAAAGGGCGCGUAGGCGGCCCGGUAAGUAGGAGGUGAAAUCUUGCGGCUUAACCGCAAGGCUGCCUUCUAAACUGCCAGGCUUGAGCACAGUAGAGGCAGGUGGAAUUCCCGGUGUAGCGGUGGAAUGCGUAGAGAUCGGGAAGAACAUCGGUGGCGANGCGGCUCACUGGUCCGGUACUGACGCUGA